UCCUCCCUCUGGCGGCGUGCUUAACACAUGCAAGUCGAACGGAAAGGCCCUGCUUUUGUGGGGUGCUCGAGUGGCGAACGGGUGAGUAACACGUGAGUAACCUGCCCUUGACUUUGGGAUAACUUCAGGAAACUGGGGCUAAUACCGGAUAGGAGCUCCUGCUGCAUGGUGGGGGUUGGAAAGUUUCGGCGGUUGGGGAUGGACUCGCGGCUUAUCAGCUUGUUGGUGGGGUAGUGGCUUACCAAGGCUUUGACGGGUAGCCGGCCUGAGAGGGUGACCGGCCACAUUGGGACUGAGAUACGGCCCAGAAUCCUACGGGAGGCAGCAGUGGGGAAUAUUGCACAAUGGGCGGAAGCCUGAUGCAGCAACGCCGCGUGCGGGAUGACGGCCUUCGGGUUGUAAACCGCUUUCGCCUGUGACGAAGCGUGAGUGACGGUAAUGGGUAAAGAAGCACCGGCUAACUACGUG
rnacentral:rRNA from 1 species